UUUCCUCCUGUCCUGCACCCGUGCUGUGUGGAUCUUAAGACUUCCUAAACUACUACCUCUGCGGGAUUCCUGUGCAACAUCUAAAGUUGCAGAGAGUUUUCCACCAAUUCCACCUGGCUAAAGAUGAAUUCUUUAAAGAUGAAUCCUCUCAUUAAAGCCCUUAUGCUUAAGCGUAAAUCAUGGCGGAUUUAACGUCUGCACAUCCUGAGUGGCUGCCUUAGUGAUCCUGAGCAUCACCUGGGAUCUUGUACAGGUAUGGUGGAACACUGCAGCUGAACCAUGUCCAGGAUGAGGAGGCCAAAGUUCCUAUUUGGAUCUCCUUUAAUGGAACAGCUUAGUAGGAGGGAUACCAUUUCCAUCAGGACCUUAAUUCAAGUCUCUGAAUGAGUACACAGGAGCAAGACAGGUUCUACUCAUUGUGCAGAGCUGCUCACCUUCUGCCGAGUCAGAGCUCAUGCUAUCAUCCUCCACACAUCCACCCAAGUUGUUUCAGUCUCCUGUAUUCCCUCCUGCUGAUCCUGCCGUUAAAGCAGACGUGAUUCCAAACAGAGCAUCCGAGUCUCCGACAGCGCCAGAACCCAUACGCACACCAUCCCUCCUGUCUGCACCAUCCCGUCUCCAUCCAGCUUUUGGCAAUCACAGGUAAACAAUGAUAUCAGGUCCUCCUUCCUCUGUUGGGUAUAGAAACCACUCUGCUCUCUAUCGCUGCACCAUCAGGUGUCUCCACUGAGCCUAUGGCAGACACAGAAACCAAAUCCAUGCUGCUGCUGCCGUCCUCACUGAGGAGCGCCUGUACUGGACCUGUGAAGACAGGUGGACGGGUGUGUGUACUGCACCAUAAACCCUGGACAUCACCAAUGAAGAACGCCAUCGACAGUCUGCUAAAUAAGCACCAUGGUAAGAAGGACACUCUUAAGGUUGUGGACCAUGAAUACGCUGAUGUGGUUUUAUUGUAUGUUCACAGAGAGGGAGGAAAAAACAUUGCGUCUCCCCGUCGGGGAAUCGAACCCCGGUCUUCCGCGUGACAGGCGGAGAUACUGUCCACUAUACUAACGAGGAGUGAGUACCAAUGUUUCAUGGCGAACUAAUGAAUUGCAAGCUUUCAUUAGCGCAACCCAUUUUAAUACAAUAUUCAUGAUCUGUGCCAUGACAUUGAACAGUGUUGUUCUCACAGAGGGUCAGUCUGGUCUUGAGUAUGAAUUUUAGACUUCCUGACAAAUUAAUAAUCCUAUUUACACUCUCCUGGACAAUUUUUUUGUGAUGAAUCACUGAGCAAGAAUAACCUACAAUUAACUGAAUGUAUAUAUUGUGUAUAUGAACACUCACAUAUCUUUUGUUUGUCUUUAAGUGCCAUUUUUCCCCCCUCACUUUGUCUCAGGGUUCUCCCAUUACCCAGGAUUCUCUGCUUUCUGUGAGUCAGAUCAUUUGACUCCGCUCAAGAAAUAAGAGUCGACUCUUUUGGCUCCUGAACAGCUCACAUGUUUUGGGGUUGUUUUUUUGCAAUAUUUCCACCAGUGAUUGUUUUGAUUAGCUGAAAUUGUUACUUUCUAAUUAGAAAAAUAACACUAAUUUACACUACAUUCUCUAAAACUGAUUGUGUAAAAUCAGCAUGGCACUACAUUAGAUACAGUAAGCAUGCAUUAAUAUUACUGUGUCUGCUGUGUCUGGGUUUCAUUAAAAUUUAUUUAUUAAACAGUUAUGCCUACAGCUUAUCCAUUUUUCAGUGGAUAACCUCACUUGGGUAGUAUAGAUUUAAAGCUUAAAAAAAAAACUCUGGAAAAAAAGACCCUGAUGUUCAUACUGAAGAUCCUUUCAACAAAUUCAGUAAUAAAUAAAUAAAUAGAUAGAUAAAUAGAAUAAUAUUGAAUGGUUUCUACUGAUCUUGGUAACUUUGCAUUAUCUGCACCCUCUAAUACACUGAUUAGCCUAUAUACACAACAUUUUAAACAAAGAGCAGUGCAUUGGUUCAUAUGCGAGUCGACUCUCAAAGUUCACCCAAAAGAUCCGGAUCAGUGAGCCGACUCGUUCGUGUACGACACGUCACUACUGACCUAUACAGCAGUGCUAUUAUAUUUAUAUUUUAAAAAACUGUAAUAAACUAUUUAAAAAGGGAAAUGAGAGCAAAAAUAAAACCCCUCUUGAGGACAAAACAGAUUUUGCUUCUGUUCAGGUAGUCAGUGCUGUAAAAGUGGUGCUUUGUUCCUUAGAAAGCAGCCAAAUUUGCUUCUCCGCCAUGUUUGUACCACGUGUUCUGACUUGUAUCAGCCACUCCAAAGCAAUGCUGCCAUCUACUGGAUGUUCAAUACAACUACCAGCACUAUUUUCAAGAACUAUCAGUGUACAGUGUAAUUUAAUUCAGAUCAUCAAGUCAGAAUUGACAGGCAAGUCUGAAGUACCAAAAACAAACAAACAAA